UUCAGUCCUCUGGAGGAUGCCAAAUAAAAGCCUUCCUUGAUGACCUGUCACUUUCCUAGCCUGACUUGAGUGGCUAGACUUCUGGUUAAGCAUCCCAUGUUGGCCUUUCAUGGCACGUAGAAGAUUUCAGUGCCCAGUGUUCUAGGUCGCCAGCUCCAUAGCUCCAGCAAGCACUGGCAACCAUGACCUUUCCUUAGAGCCUGCUUUGCAACCAGAGAACAUAAAGAAGGAAAACCGACCCCCUUUUCUCUUCUGAGAAGAAUGCUCUCUGCUACUAUCUGUGACCUCUAUUCAAGCUCAACAGACCUGUGGUGAAAAUAAAAUUUUAUGUUAAGA